rnacentral:rRNA from 1 species
ACCGGGAAUAUUGCGCAAUGGGCGAAAGCCUGACGCAGCGACACCGCGUGUGGGAAGAAACCCUUCGGGGCGUAAACCACUGUGGCAAAGGAAGAAAUUUUGACGGUACUUUGCUAGAAAGCACCUGCUAACUACGUGCCAGAAGCCUCGGUAAUCCGUAGGGUGCAAGCGUUAUCCGGAUUUACUGGGCGUAAAGCGUUUCGUCGGCGGUUUACUAAGUUCCAUCUUUAAUACUGGGGCACAACUCCAGAUACAGGGUGGAAAACUAGUAAGCUUGAGUAUGUUCGGGGGAACUAGAAUUCUCGGUGGAGGGGUGAAAUCCGUAGAUAUCGAGAGGAAUACCAUCCGCGAAGGCGGGUUCCUAGGACAUCACUGACGCUCAGGAACGAAAGUUUGGGUAGCAAAAGGGAUUAGAUACCCGGGUAGUCC